GAUGAACGCUGGCGGCGUGCCUAAUACAUGCAAGUCGAGCGAACAGAUAAGGAGCUUGCUCCUUUGACGUUAGCGGCGGACGGGUGAGUAACACGUGGGUAACCUACCUAUAAGACUGGGAUAACUUCGGGAAACCGGAGCUAAUACCGGACAAUAUUUCGAACCGCAUGGUUCGAUAGUGAAAUAUGGUUUUUCUAUUACUUAUAGAUGUCCCCGCGCCGUAUUAGCUAGUUGGUAAGUUAACGUCUUACCAAGGCUACGAUACGUAGCCGACCUGAGAGGGUGAUCGGCCACACUGGAACUGAGACACGGUCCAGACUCCUGAGGGAGGCAGCAGUAGGGAAUCUUCCGCAAAGGGCGAAAGCCUGACGGAGCAACGCCGCGUGAGUGAUGAAGGUCUUCGGAUCGUAAAACUCUGUUAUUAGGGAAGAACAUACGUGUAAGUAACUGUGCACGUCUUGACGGUACCUAAUCAGAAAGCCACGGCUAACUACGUG
rnacentral:rRNA from 1 species